rnacentral:rRNA from 1 species
GACGAACGCUGGCGGCGUGCUUAACACAUGCAAGUCGAGCGGUAAGGCCCUUUCGGGGGUACACGAGCGGCGAACGGGUGAGUAACACGUGGGCGACCUACCCUCAGCUCCGGGAUAAGCCUGGGAAACUGGGUCUAAUACCGGAUAUGACCUUCCCUCGCAUGGGGGUUGGUGGAAAGUUUUUUCGGUCUGGGAGUGGGCCCGCGGCCUAUCAGCUUGUUGGUGGGGUGAUGGCCUACCAAGGCGACGACGGGAGCCGGCCUGAGAGGGCGACCGGCCACACUGGGACUGAGAUACGGCCCAGACUCCUACGGGAGGCAGCAGUGGGGAAUAUUGCGCAAUGGGCGGAAGCCUGACGCAGCGACGCCGCGUGGGGAUGACGGCCUUCGGUUGUAA